GGCAAGUGUGGCAUAGUGAUAAGGAGCAGGGCUUGUAACCCAAAGGUUGCUGGUUCGAUUCCCCACUGCUG